GGCGGGAUAGCUCAGUUGGCUAGAGCAUACGGUUCAUACCCGUAGUGUCGCUGGCUCGAAUCCAGUUCCCGCUA
rnacentral:tRNA from 1 species